NGGGUUGUAGUUAAAUAUAACAUUUGAUUUGC
rnacentral:tRNA from 1 species